rnacentral:tRNA from 1 species
GGUUUCGUAGUUCAACGGAUAGAAUAGAAGUUUCCUAAACUUUAGAUGUGGGUUCGAUUCCCGCCGAGACCA